rnacentral:rRNA from 1 species
CCCUACGGGACGCAGCAGUGAGGAAUAUUGGUCAAUGGGCGAGAGCCUGAACCAGCCAAGUCGCGUGAGGGAGUACUGCCCUAUGGGUUGUAAACCUCUUUUGUCGGGGAGCAGAAGCCGGACGUGUCCGGCUGUGAGAGUACCCGAAGAAAAAGCAUCGGCUAACUCCGUGCCAGCAGCCGCGGUAAUACGGAGGAUGCGAGCGUUAUCCGGAUUUAUUGGGUUUAAAGGGUGCGCAGGCGGAUUUUUAAGUCAGCGGUCAAAUCGUGGGGCUCAACCCCAUCCAGCCGUUGAAACUGGGGAUC